rnacentral:tRNA from 1 species
AAUGCAGAGCCUGAUUAAAGGAUUAUCGUGAUAGGAUAAAACAUGUAAGAUAAAAAAUUACCUACAUUA